GAUGAAGAACGCAGUGAAAUGCGAUAAGUAAUGUGAAUUGCAGAGUUCAGUGAAUCAUCGAGUCUUUGAACGCACAUUGCGCCCCCUGGUAUUCCGGGGGGCAUGCCUGUCCGAGCGUCAUUGCUGCCCUCAAGCACGGCUUGUGUGUUGGGCCUCCGCCCCCCGGCUCCCGGGGGGCGGGCCCGAAAGGCAGCGGCGGCACCGCGUCCGGUCCUCGAGCGUAUGGGGCUUCGUCACCCGCUCCGUAGGCCCGGCCGGCGCCCGCCGGCGACCCCCCUCAAUCUUUCCAGGUUGACCUCGGAUCAGGUAGGGAUACCCGCUGAACUUAAGCAUAUCAAUAAGCGGAGGA
rnacentral:misc_RNA from 1 species